UUGGUUCUAGGGCAACAUAACUGUUCGCAUGCGGUUCACUUCUUCCCUUUUCUCUCUCAAGCGUAGCUCCCUUUCCUCUUCCCGGAUCGAAGAUGCAGAAGAUGACGGCGACGGUAGCUGGCGGAUUUACAAUGGCGACGUCCUUAGGGUAGAACUGGAGUGGUCUCUCCGGUGAAGUCCUUUCUCUUCAUCUCACAUUCCAGUUGAGCUUCCUCUACCAGGCGCGGUGAAGAAGGUAGAGGAAGCAUCCCAGCAGGUGGCAGUUAUAUUCCAUCUCCAUCAUCAACUCCGGUUGGGGAUCCUCAACGGUGUGUUUACAUAGGCUAGGGUCCUCCACUACAGUGGCAUUUCCCCUUCUCAACGUAGCUUUUCUCAGAGGAUAUUGUGUGUUCACCGUCGUCGAUUGUAUCUCUAACUAGCAGCAUCGUCAUCCACCGUAUCAAGAGAUUUCCAAGUGAUAUAAUGACUUUCUUCCUCGGUGGUUUUGUUGACAGACAGAACGCUUUUCGUGUUUGAUUGUGGAUAAUGGUUUUGUUAGUUUAGUUUAAUUUCCUGUUGAAUGUUUCAUGUUUAGUUGUUAGUUCACUUUCAUGUUUGAUCUUAUAUUUAUGUUAUGAUGCAUGUAUUAUUUAGUGUUGCAUUUUGUUAGGUUCAUUUAUGCAUGAUUGUUGAUCGGUAUCAUAGGGUGACAAUGUGGUACAGGUUUAUCAUUUAUACAUAGUUAGGUUUUGUUAAUUGCUUUU